rnacentral:rRNA from 1 species
CGAGGGGAGUGAAAAAGAACCUGAAACCGUGUACGUACAAGCAGUGGGAGCACGCUUAGGCGUGUGACUGCGUACCUUUUGUAUAAUGGGUCAGCGACUUAUAUUCUGUAGCAAGGUUAACCGAAUAGGGGAGCCGAAGGGAAACCGAGUCUUAACUGGGCGUUAAGUUGCAGGGUAUAGACCCGAAACCCGGUGAUCUAGCCAUGGGCAGGUUGAAGGUUGGGUAACACUAACUGGAGGACCGAACCGACUAAUGUUGAAAAAUUAGCGGAUGACUUGUGGCUGGGGGUGAAAGGCCAAUCAAACCGGGAGAUAGCUGGUUCUCCCCGAAAGCUAUUUAGGUAGCGCCUCGUGAAUUCAUCUCCGGGGGUAGAGCACUGUUUCGGCAAGGGGGUCAUCCCGACUUACCAACCCGAUGCAAACUGCGAAUACCGGAGAAUGUUAUCACGGGAGACACACGGCGGGUGCUAACGUCCGUCGUGAAGAGGGAAACAACCCAGACCGCCAGCUAAGGUCCCAAAGUCAUGGUUAAGUGGGAAACGAUGUGGGAAGGCCCAGACAGCCAGGAUGUUGGCUUAGAAGCAGCCAUCAUUUAAAGAAAGCGUAAUAGCUCACUGGUCGAGUCGGCCUGCGCGGAAGAUGUAACGGGGCUAAACCAUGCACCGAAGCUGCGGCAGCGACGCUUAUGCGUUGUUGGGUAGGGGAGCGUUCUGUAAGCCUGUGAAGGUGUGCUGUGA